rnacentral:lncRNA from 1 species
UUUUUUUGGUCACCCAGUGCUUGGGGCAAAUUGUGGGCUUUUCACAUUGGAUGUAUUUCCAAAUAAUACAUAGAUAAAAAGAUUAGCUUCAAGGCAUCAUUACAAAUUCAUAUAUUAAUUUAGAACCGGUUAACUUUCUUCGUAUAUGCUGAACCUUCACUCUGGGAAAUUUAGAACACCUUGGGGAUUAAAGUUUCCUUUCGGAUAAAAAAGCGCAAAGCCACUGCUCCUUCCCCUCAACCCAACUUCCUCCUCUCCCAUCAUUUCUGUCUUUAUCCGCUACUUUCGGUCCUUCAUUCCUUCCCUCCCACUUUUAUUCUUCCUCAAUUUUCACUCCCAUGAUUAAAAUAUCCGUGUGUGUGUGUGUGUGUAAACCCAAGCAAUUACUCUCACAUGGUGAUAUGUACACAACACACACACACACACACAUCCUAGAGCUCACAUUGAUUGGGUGCUUUUUUAAUCCUAGUCACUAUUUUAGGCCAUUUAUACGUGGUUACUCAAUCCUUCUAAAAGCCUCAUGAUGUCUUUACUAUGACUAAGCUACAACAGAGCUGAGGAAAAUGAGACAGAAAAAUGUCAAAUUGCUUCCCAAGGCUGCACAGCUGGUGACAGACAGAGCCAGGACUUGCCCUAGGCGCCCUGGCCCCAAAGCCCAUGCUUUGGGUCAUGAUGCCACACUGCUAGUCAGUAUCUACCAGGUCCGAGGUACACAUAUGACACACCCAUUCCUGCGUUCUGGGAGGGGGGGGGUCCUGUGCUAGAACAGAGAACAUCCCCCCAAAGCAGUCCGACUGUUAGGAACUUUACAAGCUAAAAGGGAGGGCUAGACAGGAAACCAAGGAGCAAAGGGAUACUUAGCACGCUCUUACCUAGUACAGGUCGUGAAGAAUGGGGCAAGGGAGACAGUACAGACGGUAAGUCCUAAGUGGGUAUUAGUUCUAUCAGGGCUCAGGAAGGGCCCACAGAGAAGGAGACGGGGUGACCACGUGAAGGCAGGAAACACCACCCUCACCUUCGCUUCUUUUUUUUUUUAAUUUUUUUCCAUUAUCGGUGAUUUACGGUGUUCUGUCAAUUUUCUACUGUACAGCAAUGGUGACCCCGUGACACAUACAAGGAUACAUCCUCUUUGCUCCCAUUAUCAGGCUCCAUCACAAGUGACUAGAUACAGUUCCCGGUGCUAUGCAGCAGGAUCUCAUGGCUUAUCCAUUCCAAAGGCAACAGUCUGCACCUCUUAACCCCGCGUUCCCAGUCCAUCCCACUCCCUCCCCUUUGGCAACCACAAGUCGGUUCUCCAAGUCCAUAAGUUUCUUUUCUGUGGAAAGGUUCAUUUGUGCCGUAUAUGAGAUUCCAGAUGGAAGUGAUAGCAUAUGGUGUCUGUCUUUCUCUUUCUGACUUGCUUCCCACCGUCAUUUCUUCUGUCCCUUUCUUCCUUCCAGCUCUUGCCUUUCAUUCCUCUUUCCGGCAGCAACUAUUCACCCCAUACCCGGUGCAGGGAGCUGGCAAUACUAGAUGGCGCUGUGGUUUUAAUAAGUGCUGGUUGGUCUGGAUCUGUACCUUCCUAAUACUGCCAAACCAGAAGGGGAGACGAGACCCUCAGAGAAACUCACCCAGUCACUUAGAAAACUGCGGGUCUCGGAGUUCCCGUCAUGGCGCAGUGGUUAACGAAUCCGACUAGGAACCAUGAGGUUGUGGGUUCGGUCCCUGCCCUUGCUCAUGGGUUAAGGAUCCAGCAUUGCCAUGAGCUGCAGUGUAAACUGCAGAUGAGGCUCAGAUCUGGCAUUGCUGGGGCUGUGGUGUAGGCUGGGAGCUGCAGCUCAGAUUCAACCCUUAGCCUGAGAACUUCCAUACGCCACAGGUGUGGCUCUAAAAAGCAAAAAAAAUCUAAUCACUGACCCAUCUAGCCUCCUUCUGCCUCAGCCAGUCUUAUUUGGAGUCCUUCCUAAGAUGAGACAUGGCUCUGGCUUUCUCCAUUUUAUCUUCGGAUUCCUCAUAUAAACUACCUGCAAAUGUAUGUCCCUGGCUGUGUUCCUGGGCUCAGGGGCUCCCAGAACAAAAUCACCCAGGGUUACCUAAUCAGAUCUGCCACAGAUACCAGGGCACCUUGACUGGCAUCUGUGGGGACGGCUGAUGGUUAAACAGCACCCCUGUCCCUUCCAUCAUUUGGAGAUUGUGUUCAGGGCUUUUGUUUUCUCUUCUUUCAAAAACAAUGUCAUCUUGACACUUAGGAAUGCACCUGAGAAAAGGAGGGCUGUCCUGGACUUUGCUGGUGGUAUUAGGUUUCUCUCUCUCCCUCUCUCUCUUUUUUCUUUUUAGGGUCCACUGCAGCCUAUGGCAGUUCGCAGGCCAGGGGUCGAAUCAGAGCUGCCCCUGCUGGCCUACACCACAGCCACAGCAACAGCCAGAUCCAAGCUGCAUCUGUGACCUACACCCUAGCUCACGGCAACACCGGAUCCUUAACCCAUUCAGCGGGGCCAGGGGUUGAACCUGCAUCCUCAUGGAUACUAAGUCAGGUUCUUAACCUGCUGAGCCCCAACAGGAACUCCAAGUUUUAUCUCUUCAUUGUCCUUUUCCUGCUCUGUGAAUCCAGCACUGUGAAAUGACGUGAUCCAAUUAUGAAUCAGCCAUUCAUUCCUGCUCAUGGAAACUCACUUAUUUAGGCUCCAGCAGUGGCGAAGAUACCAGCCCAGGACGACAGUCACGGAGCCUUUCAUUUACCAACUUGUCCUCUCGGAGGAGACAGAAGGCAAAAGCAAAGCCACACGGACAGGACAUGCCACGGAAGGCCGUGUUUCUUAAAGCUUUGUUGACAAAAUGACAUCACUCCCCCCAGAUAGAAACAAAAAAGGGGGAUUUCCUUCCAACACUCUGCCUCUGCCAGGGGGAAGGGGUGUCAGCAUUUAGUAUUGCUAUGACUGGGCUAAAAGCAUUAUUGCAGUUCAUAAGUGAGCUUCUUAAGGGAAAACAUGCCCCCUAAAUUAUUACGCGAAAAUAAUAUUUUUUUCCUUGAUAAAUCAGUUUAAAGGGAGGUCCAUUGUGCAAAAAAGCCUAAUUUUUCUCUAUGAGCUCCCAGAAACAUAAUAUCACCAGUAAGGCCUCUUAAUGAGAGAAAAUCAUCCCCACUCCUGAUAAGUUCUGGAUCAAAGAGGGAUUUGCAAAUACCAGCCUGCACUGUAAUGUUUGACUAAUGGCCUAAUCCAUCAACCGGCAUGUUUGGGUAUUGAGUUCAUUAGCAUUUACCAUUAGCAUUUAUUUAUUCAUUUGUUCAACAAAUAUUUCUACAGCUCCUACUAUGUUCCUCUUUCUCUGUGCUGGGGAUGGAGCAGGAAGGGAAUACACACGGACCCCUCCUUCACAAGGCUGACCAUCCGGCGGGAAAGCCAUAGCAACCAACGCUCACACACAGGCAUGCCUAGGUGAUGAUGGCAGGGUGGGCUUUUCUCUGCCCCCAUCUCUUGAAGGCCCUCUUCUGCAGAGGUUUCUGGGAAAACAAAUCCGGAGCAACCUCAUCAGUAGAGCUACGGUAAAGUCCUGCCUGAUGAAACAGGCUUUGGCAAGAAGAAGGAUAUUUUGUCUUAGAGAUGCUGCUAUUUCCAGGAAUCUAAAACACUAAAGCUACUGCCCAGGCCAAGGUAGAUGUGAGAGCUUGCAGGACGUCCUGGGCUUUUCCGGGGUGGGUGAUGGCCUAGGGGAGGGCAGCAGAGGACCAAAGGCACGUGGAGGAUGGGGGGUGGGAGAGAAGAAGGCGGCUUCUGACAGCCAGUCAAACUCCACGUGGGACAGAGCAACUUAGUGGAAAAAAUGGAGAGAGGGUUUCACCAGCUGGACCCCUGGUUGGAGACUGGCUAAGAGUCUGGUCACUUCCUCUCUCCUUACAGACAGGCCCUGCCCAGCCCUGGGGGCUGUCAGGCUUUGAGGAAGACAAGUGGAGGUCAGCCCUCUUGGCCUUGUCUGUUUCUACCCAAUAUCCUACGUAAUGAACGGAAUUCUAUUCAAGGAGCAGAGUGGCCAUGACUUCUGCCACAAAGACAGCCCCAUCAUAGAGCUGGCUUCCCUCUGUGUGGACCUGGCCUCCAAGCUGUAGUCAGGAAUGGGGCUCAGGCCAAGGCAUUAAAUUUUUUUAAUUAUUAAAAUUUUAUUUUAACGUAUUUUUUAAUUUAAAAAAUACACCAGAAAUUCUGUCAAACUUGACUCUGGCUAAAGGGUUAAAAGCUCACAGCAGCCAUAUAUGAAAAUUGAAAAACUGAUUAAGUCCAACAAGGGUUUAAUCUUCAAAAUAUACAAACAACUCAUACAACUCAUAGCAAAUCCCCCCACACACAAUCCAAUAGAAAAAUGGGCAGAAAACCUAAACAGACAUUUCUCCAAAGAAGACAUACAGAUGGCCAAUGAGCACAUGAAAAAAUGCUCAUCAUCACUGAUUAUUACAGAAAUGCAAAUCAAAACUAGUAUGAGGUACCACCUAGCACCUGUCAGAACGACUAUCUACAAAUAACAAAUGAUGGAGAAGAAAAGGGAACCCUCCUACACUCUUGGUGGGCAUGUAAAUUGGUACAAACACUCUGGAAAACAGUAGGGAGGUUCCUCAGAAAACUCAACAUAGAACUACCAUGUGAUCCAGCAAUCCCACUCCUGGGCAUAUAUCAAGACAAAACGUUCAUUCAAAAGGAUACAUGCACCCCUAUGUUCAGUGCAGCACAAAUUCACAACAGCCAAGACAUGGAAACAACCUCAAUGUCCAUCGACAGAUGAAUGGAUUAAGAAGAUGUGGUGCAUAUACAUAAUGGAAUACAACUCAGCCAUAAAAAAGGACAAAGUAAUGCCAUUUGCAGCAACAUGGAUACAACUAGAGCUUCUCAUACUAAGUGAAGUAAGUCAGAAAGAGAAAGACAAAUAUCAUAUCACAAAGAGAUAACACUUAUGUGCGGAAUCUAAGAUCUGGCACAAAUGAUCCUAUCUACAAAAUAGAAACAGAUCAUGGACAUGGAGAGCAGAUCUGUGGUUGCCAGGGGGGAGGGGACAGAGAGUUUGAGGUUAGUAGAUGUAAACUAUUAUCUUCAGAAUGGAUAAGGAAUAGGGUCCUACUGUACAGCACAGGGAACUAUGUUUAAUCUCUCGGGUUAGAACAUGAUGGAAGGUAGUAUGAAAAAAAGAAUAGGAUAUACAUGUGUGUGCAUGUGUGUGUAUGACUGGGUCACUUUGCUGUCCAGCAGAAAUUACCAGAACACCAUAAAUCAACUACACUUUAAUAAAAAAUAUUUCAAAAAGAAAAGAAUUUUAAUUAUUAAAAUUUUACUUUAAUUAAAUUAGAAUACACUUUUUUUUUUUUUAAAAUUUAAAAAAUGCACCAGAAAGUCUGUCAAAGCUGACACUGGCUGUAGGGUUCAAAAGGCUGUUCUGAUGUGAUCUGGGGGGAUCUUACUUUUUUGUUGGUUUUCUAUUUUUCACUUUUUGGAACAGUGGCCAUAAUAAAUACAUCAUAAAAUGCCCCUUUCUCCUGAAGCUAAAGCACUCCCUUCUUCUCUCCAAUAGUGUCCAAGAGUGUAUUCGUUUUUCUUUUUCUAUCUACCCUGAUCCAGUCCUGGAUGAGAAACAGGAUGGUGCUAUCACCCCUCCCUGAGCAGAUGGGUACCAGUUCAAGAGUUUGUGACAAAACUGUCAACUCAGGGAGCCCCGCCUGGCUCUGCAGACCGUAAAGGCAAGGCAGGCAGGUCUAGGCAGAGACACAGAGCUCCCUCUGAAGGCUGAGCAUCCUGGGAGGAGGGAGAGGAAAAACCUCCCAUUCACGGGACAGGCUCACCCCCCUUAAGUUGACCCACUCGAGACACGACUCAGAGCAACCCGCAGAGCGGGAGGGAGGCUGCUGGAGAGCUCGCCCAUCUUCCAGGUCGCUUCUUGGGCCUUGAUGGGGACAUUAAAUGUGGUAUUCAGCACCACCUCCAGAAAUUCAAAUCUGUGUAUUCAGCCACGGUGGGUGACAUCCAAAUG